GACGUAGGGCGCGAGCGUUGUCCGGAUUUAUUGGGCGUAAAGAGCUCGUAGGCGGCUUGUCGCGUCGACUGUGAAAACCCGCGGCUCAACUGCGGGCUUGCAGCCGAUACGGGCAGGCUAGAGUUCGGUAGGGGAGACUGGAAUUCCUGGUGUAGCGGUGAAAUGCGCAGAUAUCAGGAAGAACACCCGUGGCGAAAGCGGCUCUCUGGGCCGAUACUGACGCUGAGGAGCGAAAGCGUGGGGAGCGAACAGG
rnacentral:rRNA from 1 species